GUGUGUGUGUGUGUGUGUGUGUGUGUAUUUGAGUAUGUGUGUGUGUCUGUGCAAACGUUUGCUCAACAGCCUCCAGUUGUGAAACGAGUGGAGCUGAGAUUAAAUAUUUAAACGUUGGUUUCCAGAAGCAGUGAAACCUGUGGAGCUGCCGCGGGGACCUGAGCCCAUGAUGUGACGUCUCUUCACCACCAGGGUCACGGAGGGGAUGGAGCCAUUUGGUCGAGAAGCCGUGAGUUUCUGGGACUGGAACAGAGAAGACGAGCCGGGAGGAGAAAGUCUUGCAUCAUCUUUGGACACAGGAUCAUGGUGCAGCUGAUCUUUUUUGUCUAAACAGACAAAAAGCUUUCAAAGGGAGGGGAGAGGCGGACGCUUUGUUUAGACCUCAUCUCUAAACAUCGGCCUUGUCUUUGUUUCCUUUCCUCCCUUACUGUAAACAGCUGGAGAGCCGUGCACGUAUGCCCAGUGUCAGAGCUGUUUAUCGGGGAUGGGAGGCAGAUGAGCUUGGGCUGGUGCCAGUCCAACAGCUCUGGACCGUCAGACGCCCAGGAGACUUGUAUCCACACGAGACUCGGGAGGGGCGGUGAUUCUCUGGACCAGCUUCAAGCUCAAACUCAAGAGAAGAGUCCAACGCUGGUUUUCAAGGAAACCUCCAGCUCUCCUCUGCGUCCAUCUUGUUCGAGGUGACGCUUCCCUCGUGUGAAACUUCCCAAGGCCGCUGCUCCUUAGAGGUUUAAAUGUUUUUUUGAUUUGUGCAAACUGGAACUGGAUCCCACAUGCAGGUGGGGAGCGCAGCAAUGUUCCCGAGUCAUCGUUCUCUCCAGUCAGACGACGGUGGGGCCCCAGCGGCUCCAGAUGUGAAACCAGUUUGCUCAGACCACUGGGACUCGAUGUGCCCUCGCGCUCUCGGUUCAAACCUCGGUGGCCACACAGGGAAUGCUCUGCAGGUGAGCCGGGGUAAAACCUGGGCUGUAAGAAACAUCAAAACCCACAUGGUUAAACCUCCACGGCGGUAAAACUUAUACGAGAGGCGGCCACCAGGGGGCGAUCCAGAUGAUUUGGGGACCCGACUGAUGUCGAGACGGACGCUAGCAGGGUUUUACCUCUCGUUGUAAAAUACAAGCAAACUCCACACGGAACCUGAACAGCGUAAAGAAGACGAGGCCUUCAUCUUCCUCCUCGGUGCUGAUCCCGUCUCAAGAAGAUUUACGUCCUCGCCGCCGGUAGCCAGCGCUGCCGCCAUAAAAGAGACUGAUCGCUGCACUCAGCGGUCUGCAAGUGCUGUUCGACACUAAAAGAGAAGAUGGAUCGGUAUCACACCUGAAACAAAUGGUAUUUCCAGAGAUUUGGUUGCUUUAUUUUGUAGAAAGACUUGAACACCUGAGCACACAUGUGUCUUUUAGAGCUGAAAGCUGCUCCAAGCAGUUGCUGCCUCGGCAGAACUUUCUCCAAACCGGCUUCUUUCACCUCAAAGCUCCCGGAGAUCAGAACAACAUCGUCCUCAAGAAAGAUGUGAAAACAAUUCACGAGUUCAAUGAAAAUCACUCUAAUCCGACCCGACACCCGCUGGUGGGUCCGAGAGGCUGAAUCCAACUCAUCUGGAAGCGAAAUCUGCAAAUUAUGCCGGAUGUCUUAACCUAGGACCGAUGAGAACCUGUGUCCACAUAAAAGUCCAGAUCCACUUGGACGAGCUGUGGGAUCCUGGCGCCGCCAAAUGAGAUCAAGCGGAGUGGGGGUGUAAUACAGCUGCAGGAAACCCUGCCACCAGGGGGCGAGCGGGGGAAACCGGCCAAAUCCUCAGUGAUGCAAAGUCCAAGUGAAUCCGCUGCCAUCGGAACACAUCUUUAAUCCCUUUUACAAUUAAAAGAUCUUAACGGAGCUCUAACCAACAUUUCCAGAUGAACCAGGGGUUCAUUUAAUGUAAUGUGUAGUGACAACGCUAACGAACACAACCAAUCAGAACGGGUUGAGAGAAUGAGUCGUGUUUGACCCCCUGUGGUGAAACUCUCCUGAGCACUGGUGGAUGAAUUGAAUUCAGGCGUGUUUACCUCGUCCGGUUCUGACAAAGAGAUUCAAUUCUUCUCCUGUUUAUUGACUUUGACAGUUUAUAGAAAAUCCUCCUGUUGUAUCGUCCUCGUUUCUCCGGCUCCUCCCUCUCCUCACCUCUCGUUCAGGCAGCCGGCCGCCACCUGACAACGCAGAAAGCCCUUUUCCAGAUGUGUGUGUCUGUGUGUGUGUGUGUGUGUGAGUCCCCUCUGACACCACAGCUGUCCGCCCAGCCCUGCAGCUUCUCCAUGUGCACGUGUCUCUCUGUGCAUGUGUGGGACUGUGUGAGUCGGUCCCGCGGUGAGGAGACAUAAUGGCGAUCGGCGCCCGGAGUUUAGGGUUCAGACUCAGCAUUCCAUGCAUGUGAGGUAUCGCAGCCCGGGGACGCACUCUGCAGCCGGGUCAACACGUGGCUGUCGAGACGCGUCGGGGGACAAAGUGAACGGCAAAGUUUUGCAACAUUUAGCUGCCAAUUUUUUGGGAUAUUGCUUCUUGUGUGUUUGAGCAAUCAUGACGUUUCACAACAGUUUAUAUAUCAUCAUUCCACCAAUAAAAACUAAACUUAUCAGAAGCGUGGGCGGGAUAAGAACGACCAUAAAGGACAGAAACCAGUUAACGUGCACUUUGACCUCUCUCGGCUUGGUUCAAGUCCCAUCCACUAACAUGGAGGAAGACGGGUUUAUGACUAUUGAGAUUUGACCAUAACAGUCUCUGAUGAAAUCUGACUUGUAUCUGUAUCUAAUCUAAAUGUUCCAGGCUAUGAUCACUACGUGGGGUUUGUUUCAUUCUCAAAUACAAGGUGUGUUUCUUGUUGACCCAUUUUCAACAAGAAUUGUUUUUCCUCCAAAUCCAAGACGUGUGUGUACUUGUACUUUUUUAAUAAGUCACUUGGAAAACUGACGACUGAGCAGAACAAUUAAAGACUUUAUUCCGA